rnacentral:rRNA from 1 species
GUGGGGAAUAUUGGACAAUGGGGGGAACCCUGAUCCAGCCAUGCCGCGUGUGUGAAGAAGGCCUUUUGGUUGUAAAGCACUUUAAGCGAGGAGGAGGCUACCGAGAUUAAUACUCUUGGAUAGUGGACGUUACUCGCAGAAUAAGCACCGGCUAACUCUGUGCCAGCAGCCGCGGUAAUACAGAGGGUGCAAGCGUUAAUCGGAUUUACUGGGCGUAAAGCGCGCGUAGGUGGCCAAUUAAGUCAAAUGUGAAAUCCCCGAGCUUAACUUGGGAAUUGCAUUCGAUACUGGUUGGCUAGAGUAUGGGAGAGGAUGGUAGAAUUCCAGGUGUAGCGGUGAAAUGCGUAGAGAUCUGGAGGAAUACCGAUGGCGAAGGCAGCCAUCUGGCCUAAUACUGACACAGAGGUGCGAAAGCAUGGGGAGCAAACAGGAUUAGAUACCCGAGUAGUCC